rnacentral:rRNA from 1 species
CGUACUGCUCAGUAACACGUAGUCAACCUGCCCUUAGGUGGAGCAUACCCCCGGGAAACUGGGUAUAAAACUUCAUAGAUGGUAAUGGCUGGAAAGCCUCUUCGUCCAAACGCAAGGCCUAAGGAUGGGACUGCGGCGGAUUAGGUUGUUGUUAGGGUAAUUGCCUAACAAGCCCAUAAUCUGUACGGGUCGUGAGAGCGAUAGCCCGGAGAUGGUUUCUGAGACAUGAAACCAGGCCCUACGGGGCGCAGCAGGCGCGGAACCUUCACAAUGCACGAAAGUGUGAUGAGGGAAUCCUGAGUGGAUCCGCAUUAGCGGAUUCUUUUGUUAAGUCUAGACAGCUUGACGAAUAAGAGGUGGGUAAGACGGUUGCCAGCCGCCGCGGUAAUAACCGCGCCUCAAGAAGUUCUCACUUUUAUUGGGCCUGAAGCGUCCGUAGCUGGUUUGAUGUGUCUUUGGUGAAAUCUCAUAGUAAACUGUGAGGCUUGCUGAAUAUACUGUCAGACUUGGAACCGGGAGAGG